GUUUUCUUGUUCCCAUUUUUCAUGUUGCUCUGUCCUCCCUCAUCACCAGGCAACCACUGAUCUGUGUUUGUCACUAUAAAUUGGUUGGCAUUUUCUCAAAUGAAUGGAAUCACACGUACUCCAUUUUGUGUCCUUCUUUCACCCAGCAUAAUUAUUUUGAGAUUCAUCUACGCUACUGCAUUUGUCAAGUGUUUAUUCCUUUCUUUUUUCUAAUGGCUGCAUCCACAGCAUAUGGAAGUUCCCAGGCUAGGGUUCAAAUCGGAGCUGCAGCUGCAGGCCUAUACCACAACCACAACAAUUCGGGAUCCAAGCCUCAUCUGCCACCUAGACCACAGCUUGUGACAACGCCAGAUCCGUACGUAACUCACUGAUAAAACCUGCCUCCUCACACAGACUAUGUCAGGUUCUUAAGCCACUGAACCACUGUGGGAACUCCUAUUUUCUCUUCUUUCUUUCUUUUUUUUUUUUUUUUUAGAUAGUUACUCCUUUUACUGCUGAGUAGUAGUCCAUUGUUUGGAUAUACCACAAUCUGUUUAUCCAUUUAGCUGUUGAUGCAUAUUUAGGAUGUUUUUAGUUUGAGCCUAUUACAAAUUAAGCUGAUAUGGACAUUCAUUUAAAAUCUUUGUAUGGACAUCUGAUUUCUGUAUUAACAACAAAUUUCUGAUGUUAGGGACAUCUGGUGAUCUUGGAGAGGCUGUCCCUCCAGUCAAGUGCACAUUUCAUGUGCUAACGAACCAACCUGGAGCACUUAAUCCCCAAUGCCUCUAUUUUAGUGCUCUUACACCCUAGGCUACCAUCCACCUGCCCUGACUACCCCAGGGCCAGGUAUGAGACAGUUAGGAGCAACCUCCACACUCUGGAGCCUGGGAAAUCAUUCUAGCUAGCCCCUCAAAUCCUGCCUAGCCUGCUAACCCUGACUCACUCAUUCCUUUUUAUAAAAGCCACAAUAAAGCAUCCUGCCUGCAUCUUCCCCCCACUCCUUUUGCCUCCUCUUGACCCAGGUGCUUCCCCAGCUGGCACCCCUGCUUCCUGUGCCAUGCCUCCUACUUCUAGGGAGCUGUAAGUAAAACAUCUUCCUUCCUGACCAUUGUUUCUGUGUCUGCAUAUCUUAGCAGACCUGAUUAAAAUAAAUUCCCAGGUACAUCUUAAAACGCUUUCAUUGCUCUUCGGUAAAUCCUAGGAGCAAAAUGGCUGGAUCACCUGGUAGGUAUAUGUAAAGUUUUUAAGAGACUACCAGACUUUCCAGAUUUCCCAAGUUGCUUUUGCCGCCCUACACCACAGACACAGCAACACCAGAGCCUUAACCUGCUGAGCGAGGCCAGGGAUCAAACCCAUGUCCUCAUGGAUGCUACUCAGGUUCAUUAACCACUGAGCCAUGAUGGAAACUCCAAUUUUAACCAUUCUAAAAAUCUAUGUAUCUCAUUGUGGUUUUAAUUUGUACACCCUUUAUGAACAACUAUAGGGAAUAUUUUUUGUGCCUAUUUCCCAUCCUUAUAUCUUCUUUGGCGAUAUAUCUAUUCAAAUCUUUUGUUCACUUUUUUAUUGUUUUUUUUUUUCCUUUUGAUUGAGUUUUGAGAGUUCUUUAUAUAUUCUAAAUAAAAACACUUUAUCAGGUAUAUGAUUUGUGAAAUCUUCCUGACUUAUCUUUGUUCCAUUAACAGUGUCUUUUGAAGAGCAGAAGUUUUAAAUUUUUAUGAGUCCAUUUUGUCAUUUUGUUCUUUUAUGGAUUUUAGUUUUGUUGUCGUAUCUAAAAAGUCUUUGCCUGACCCAAGGUCACAAAGAUUUUUUCUCUUCUCGUCUAUAGGUCUUAUAGUUUUUGGUUUCACAGUUAGGUCUGUGAUUGAUUUAUGUAGUGCUACUUUUUUACCUGGUGCGAGAUACCACCUGAAGUAUAUUUGCUCUUUUUUUUUUUUUUUUUCAUAUAGAUAUCCAAUUGUUCCAGCACCAUUUAUUGACAAGACUAUUAUUUCCCUUAGAAUUGCCUUUGUAUCUUUUUCAAAAAUCAGCCGUCCAUAUACAUGUGGGUCUAUUUCCGGAUUCCAUAUCCUGAGAUCUCUUUGUCGAUCUUUCUGCUAAUUCUACAUUGUCUUCAUCACUACAGCUUAUAGCUUUACAGUAAGUCAUGAAAUCGGAUAGAGUUAGUUCUGCAAUUUUUUUCUUCAUUUUCGAAGUUGUUGGAUAUAUAGUUAGAAUCAUUUUGUCAAUUUCUCCACAAAAACCUGGGCUUUCAAUCAAAAUACAUCAAUUUGGGGAAAACGUACAUCUUAGUAGUAUUAAAUCAUCCAUCCCACAAACACAGUAUAUAUCUCUCCAUUUAUGUAGGUCUUCUGUAACCUUUCAAGCAAUACUUUGUUUUCAGUUACAUAUAUUGCCCAUUUUUUGUGAAAUUUAUCCCUAAGAAUUUCACUCUUUUGAUGCUAUGUGAAUGAUAUUCUUUCCUUACUUUCAACUUCCACUUGGAAAGAAAAAUGUCGUGAUGACAAACUUCACCGCUCCGUUUGCAUAGAGAAAAGUAAAACCAUGGUUUCCCUGUUCUAUCUUGGCCUCUAUCUCUCUCAAGUUCUACAAAUGCCUCUCAAACUAAAUGCCAUGAGUCUUGUAAUAAGGCUGACAAUGGAACCAUAUUGUCCAGAAGGAGUUAACUGUGCUGUCCUCUUUUGCAAAAGCAGCUCAGCAAACUGAGUAUAUUAAAGACACACGUGUCUAGGGCUUGUAAGAAUUCUGUCAGGAGUGUGUAAUAGGGAUAAAUUACUCUUGCCAUGAGAACUUCAACUUUUGCACUUCCUGGCUUUACUGUGGCUAAAAUUGAAAUACCAACGUGGUACUCCCCAAAGUGCUUGAAUUUAAUAGCACUAAUUACCAGGCCCCCACAAGGCUAUAAAUCCUUAUUUUAAAAUUCAACUAUUUGUAAUUCCUAGGAGAGCUUAAAUUUCAGUUCCUUACCUGUAAACUUUUCAAAAAGCAAUCAACCUUACUUCUGACAUUGUCUUUAUAAGAAGUGAGUGUGCAACUCUGUCUCCCCAAAGAAGUGGUUGACCUCACAAACUAUCUCUUGGUCUAAAUGUGGCUGGAUCUCAUCUUCUCUUCUGUAAAACUGUUAUUCUCUCAGGGCCCUGAGGAAAUGUGUUCUGGUAAAUCCCUUCAGCAUAAAAUAUUAAGAACAGAGAGCAGGUUAACUCUCCUAAGAGUAUUUGCAUUUCAGAAGACUAUAAAUAGGCAGGCAUCAGGGGAAGAAGGAUAUGGAUGGGCAAGAAAGCCUCCAGUAUCCCCUCAGAUCUCAUUAUUAGGCACACCUUUUGGUAGUUCUGAUCGGGUCUUUUCCUCUGACAAUGUGAAGGUUGGGCUUUAACUCUUGAAAAAUGCUAAUAAGGCACACAAGGCUUUACGUCCCUAUAUCCCCAGCUGUUUAACAGUAGAUCAUGGAUCUUCCUUCCAGCCUGCCUGCUUCCUCCCUUCGUCCCUUCCUCCCUCUUUCCCUUUCUCUCUGACUCUCUUUUCCUUCCUCCCUUCCCCUUCCUUUCCUCUCUCACUCCUUCCCUACCUUCCUCCCUCCCCACCCCCAUUCCUUCAUAGGAAAGUUGAAAAGAUACCACACGAUAUAGGAAGUCACCCCAAAGAAAGUUCAUAGCCAAGUGGAGUUGCCAUUAUUACCAACAUUCAACUUCUUCCUUAUGAUGCCAGCCUCUCAGGCACUGGCACUACUUGGUGACGUUUACUAAACCCCCACUGUUCAAAGUCUCAAAUGUCCUUCAAUCCCCAGAGUUAAUGUGGGGAGCCAGGAAAGACUCCCCAAAGGCAAGGGGGAUGGUGAACCAAGCUCAGGUCUCCUCAUGCAUGGAGACUGAUGGUGAGAAGGAAACGGUUAAGAAAUGCUAACUAGAUAGCAUCUCUUUAGAAAAGCUUUGUAAAUUAAGUGCACUCAAACUGAUCUCUUGACACAGUCCAAGCAGAGGAAUAAGGGUGGGAUCACUCAGGUACCAGGUAGUGCCUUUAAGACAACAGGCACACAGCAUAAGUAUAUCCCAUGCCCUAAAUGCAGUUUUUCAAAAAGUGUCCACGUGCCUGAACUGGUUAAGAAAAUAAUAAAAUUUGAGUUCACUGACAAAAUAUAAAAUUUGAGUUCCCUGACAUCAAAAAUCUUUUCUGCCAAGUCCAGGGCAGGGAAAGAUCAGCCUCUGGAACAUUUCUAGUUCUCCAAAUACAUGAAAAUAGCAGGAAGAGUCUGUGCACAUUUAAAGGAAGUCUGCCUGAAGCCACGCUUUGUAUUCACUCUUCUCUGGGAAUGAUUUGUCCCAGGUUUUCCAAUGGGAAGUUGAGCACAGGCUGACGCCUGCCAUGAAUUGUCCUUAAGGAGGCGCUGUUGGCAUUUGGCAGGGCCACCCUCUCCCCUCUCCAGCCCUGUUGGCAGAGACAGAGCUGAGACAGGUCCUUGAGCAGAGAAAGUGCAUGUCUUUCCUGUAUGAGAAGGGACAAAAAGAUGGCCUUAUCCCUGAGUACCUCAGCACUGUGCCUGUAUCAGCUACCUGUGGCUUCACAAAAAGUGACCUCUCCAGAUGUCAGCCUAAAUAAUACAUGUUUACUAUCCCACAGAUUUUUUUUUAUUACUGGUAUCAAUCAGGAAUACCAAAAAUAAAAAACCACCAGCUGGAUGGUUCAGACUCAAAGUUUCCUCUGAGGUUACAGUCAAGCUGUUGGAGCCUGUAUUUCCAAGCUCAUUCACAUGUUGCUGGAUGCUGGCUGAGUACCUCACUUCCUCCCCAUGUGGGCCUGUCCAUAGACUGUCUGAGCAUCCCUCAUACCAUGGCAGCUGGUUUUCCCCAGAUUAAGUGACCUAAGAGAGAAGGGCCAAGAUGGCAGCCACAGUCUUUUGCAACCUAAUCUUGAAAGUGACAUAUCACUUCUGCCAUAUUCUGUGAUCAAAUGGACAAACUGGUAUAACACAGGAGGGGGCUAUACAAGGGUGUGACUAUUAGGAGGUGGGGAUUUUGCAAGGGGAGCCUUGAAGGCUGCCUCCCCCAGACCUAUCAUCUAACUGUGCUGAGAACACAGUCAUCCCUAGUGUUUGAUACAGUGUAUACCAAGUAACAUAGUUUAGAGGUCCUGCAAUGGAGAAGCAAGAGUGGUGAGCUGGGAGAAGUUUGAAUUCAAGGUCAGCUGUGGCAAUUAUAAUCGCUAUGUGAAUUUGGAAUGCUGCUUAACAUUUUUGAAUAUCUGUUAUCUUAUAUCUGAGAAUUUUCAUCAAUAAUCACAAAGAUAUUGGAGUUCUCCUGCGGCACAGCAGGUUAAGGGUCUAGCAUUGCAACUGAAGUGACUCUGGUUGCUGCUGUGGUACAGGCUUGAUCCCUGGCCGAGGAACUUCCACAUGCCAUGAGUGCAGCCAAAAAAAACAAAAACAAAUACACAAACAAAUAAAAAUCACAAAGGUAUCUUUCACCUCUGAAAUUCCAUGCUGAAAAGAAAUAUUCCAUUUGGGGCAUGAAUGUUAUGAAGGUGAUUUUAAUAAAAUGGGCAAUUCCAAUGAGAUUUCUUUUAUUUCAAAGUAAUAAACCAACUAGAGAAAUGGUACCUUAGAGCUUUAUUGGCUCUUAUUUCUUUUUCAUUCAUUAUCCAUAUUUUGUUCUAGUAGGUAAGUCUCACAAUAACAUAUUUUUAUUUGUAUAAUGCUUUAAGAUAUAACAUACAAAUUUUAAUAUGCAAGUGAAUUCAUCCAUAAACCCCGUUAGGCAUAGAAAGGUAUUGGGCAUAGGAAAAUUUGUAGCUCUAUUUUUCCAUUUCCGGGUAGCUGAUGUUCACGAAUGACAGUCGGGCCAGAGGUACAAUAAGGAUACUCCCUGGCACAUGACCCAAAUAAACAGAUGGAAAUGCUCAUUUAUGUCUGAAAUCUCUAAGUCUAGGGAGUUCCCAUUUUGUGGCUUAGCAGGUUAAGAACCCAACACAGUGUCAGUGAGGAUGCAUGUUCAAUCCCUGGUCUCACUCAGUGGGUUAAGGAUCUGCUGUUGCCACAACUGUGGUGUAGGCCUGCAGCUGCAGCUCCAUUUGACCCCUAGCCUGGGAACUUUCAUAUGUCCCAGGUGCAGCUGUAAAAAAAAAAAAAA
rnacentral:lncRNA from 1 species